rnacentral:rRNA from 1 species
CCUACGGGGGGCUGCAGUGGGGAAUAUUGGACAAUGGGGGGAACCCUGAUCCAGCCAUGCCGCGUGUGUGAAGAAGGCCCUCGGGUUGUAAAGCACUUUCAGUGAGGAAGAACGCCUGGUGGUUAAUACCCAUCAGGAAAGACAUCACUCACAGAAGAAGCACCGGCUAACUCCGUGCCAGCAGCCGCGGUAAUACGGAGGGUGCGAGCGUUAAUCGGAAUUACUGGGCGUAAAGCGCGCGUAGGUGGCUUGAUAAGCCGGUUGUGAAAGCCCCGGGCUCAACCUGGGAACGGCAUCCGGAACUGUCAAGCUAGAGUGCAGGAGAGGAAGGUAGAAUUCCCGGUGUAGCGGUGAAAUGCGUGGAGAUCGGGAGGAAUACCAGUGGCGAGGGCGGCCUUCUGGACUGACACUGACACUGAGGUGCGAAAGCGUGGGUAGCAAACAGGAUUAGAUACCCUGUAGUC